rnacentral:rRNA from 1 species
AGUGGCGAACGGGUGAGUAACACGUGGGUAACCUGCCCAUCAGAAGGGGAUAACACUUGGAAACAGGUGCUAAUACCGUAUAACAAUCGAAACCGCAUGGUUUCGUUUUGAAAGGCGCUUUACGGUGCCGCUGAUGGAUGGACCCGCGGUGCAUUAGCUAGUUGGUGAGGUAACGGCUCACCAAGGCCACGAUGCAUAGCCGACCUGAGAGGGUGAUCGGCCACAUUGGGACUGAGACACGGCCCAAACUCCUACGGGAGGCAGCAGUAGGGAAUCUUCGGCAAUGGACGAAAGUCUGACCGAGCAACGCCGCGUGAGUGAAGAAGGUUUUCGGAUCGUAAAACUCUGUUGUUAGAGAAGAACAAGGGUGAGAGUAACUGUUCACCCCUUGACGGUAUCUAACCAGAAAGCCACGGCUAACUACGUGCCAGCAGCCGCGGUAAUACGUAGGUGGCAAGCGUUGUCCGGAUUUAUUGGGCGUAAAGCGAGCGCAGGCGGUUUCUUAAGUCUGAUGUGAAAGCCCCCGGCUCAACCGGGGAGGGUCAUUGGAAACUGGGAGACUUGAGUGCAGAAGAGGAGAGUGGAAUUCCAUGUGUAGCGGUGAAAUGCGUAGAUAUAUGGAGGAACACCAGUGGCGAAGGCGGCUCUCUGGUCUGUAACUGACGCUGAGGCUCGAAAGCGUGGGGAGCAAACA